GGCCUGGUGGUCUAGUGGUAUGAUUGUCGCUUCGGGACUCUGUGCCUGGCUUCGCUUGAAGCCGAGAUUGUGACAGGCCCCGGGUUCAAAUCCCGGCCAGGCCC